rnacentral:lncRNA from 1 species
UUUUCUGUAAAAUUUCCAGAACUUUCUUUAUUUCAAAUCGAUGAACUUCUACAUUUCAUAGAUUUUCAUAGGAAGUUCAUAAAAAUGUAAAAUCAGUUUCGUUUGAAACCCUAAGUCAAAACCUAUAAGUUUAUGUUGUGAUCUUGAGUGAAAGUCUUUGAUGUGUGGUUUAGGUCAAAUGUUAGGGAAUGAAUGUUUUAUGGUGCUU